UUUUAUUUGAGAGUUUGAUCCUGGCUCAGGAUGAACGCUGGCGGCGUGCCUAACACAUGCAAGUCGAGCGAUCUCUUCGGAGAGAGCGGCGGACGGGUGAGUAACGCGUGGGUAACCUGCCCUGUACACACGGAUAACAUACCGAAAGGUAUGCUAAUACGGGAUAAUAUAUAAGAGUCGCAUGACUUUUAUAUCAAAGAUUUUUCGGUACAGGAUGGACCCGCGUCUGAUUAGCUUGUUGGCGGGGUAACGGCCCACCAAGGCGACGAUCAGUAGCCGACCUGAGAGGGUGAUCGGCCACAUUGGAACUGAGACACGGUCCAAACUCCUACGGGAGGCAGCAGUGGGGAAUAUUGCACAAUGGGCGCAAGCCUGAUGCAGCAACGCCGCGUGAGCGAUGAAGGCCUUCGGGUCGUAAAGCUCUGUCCUCAAGGAAGAUAAUGACGGUACUUGAGGAGGAAGCCCCGGCUAACUACGUGCCAGCAGCCGCGGUAAUACGUAGGGGGCUAGCGUUAUCCGGAUUUACUGGGCGUAAAGGGUGCGUAGGCGGUCUUUCAAGUCAGGAGUUAAAGGCUACGGCUCAACCGUAGUAAGCUCCUGAUACUGUCUGACUUGAGUGCAGGAGAGGAAAGCGGAAUUCCCAGUGUAGCGGUGAAAUGCGUAGAUAUUGGGAGGAACACCAGUAGCGAAGGCGGCUUUCUGGACUGUAACUGACGCUGAGGCACGAAAGCGUGGGGAGCAAACAGGAUUAGAUACCCUGGUAGUCCACGCUGUAAACGAUGAGUACUAGGUGUCGGAGGUUACCCCCUUCGGUGCCGCAGCUAACGCAUUAAGUACUCCGCCUGGGGAGUACGCACGCAAGUGUGAAACUCAAAGGAAUUGACGGGGACCCGCACAAGUAGCGGAGCAUGUGGUUUAAUUCGAAGCAACGCGAAGAACCUUACCUAGGCUUGACAUCCUUCUGACCGAGGACUAAUCUCCUCUUUCCCUCCGGGGACAGAAGUGACAGGUGGUGCAUGGUUGUCGUCAGCUCGUGUCGUGAGAUGUUGGGUUAAGUCCCGCAACGAGCGCAACCCUUGUCUUUAGUUGCCAUCAUUUAGUUGGGCACUCUAGAGAGACUGCCAGGGAUAACCUGGAGGAAGGUGGGGAUGACGUCAAAUCAUCAUGCCCCUUAUGCCUAGGGCUACACACGUGCUACAAUGGGUGGUACAGAGGGCAGCCAAGCCGUGAGGUGGAGCAAAUCCCUUAAAGCCAUUCUCAGUUCGGAUUGUAGGCUGAAACUCGCCUACAUGAAGCUGGAGUUACUAGUAAUCGCAGAUCAGAAUGCUGCGGUGAAUGCGUUCCCGGGUCUUGUACACACCGCCCGUCACACCAUGGGAGUUGGAGACACCCGAAGCCGACUAUCUAACCUUUUGGGAGAAGUCGUCGAAGGUGGAAUCAAUAACUGGGGUGAAGUCGUAACAAGGUAGCCGUAUCGGAAGGUGCGGCUGGAUCACCUCCUUUCUAGGGA
rnacentral:rRNA from 1 species